rnacentral:rRNA from 1 species
GCAGCAGUGGGGAAUAUUGGACAAUGGGCGAAAGCCUGAUCCAGCCAUGCCGCGUGUGUGAAGAAGGUCUUCGGAUUGUAAAGCACUUUAAGUUGGGAGGAAGGGCAUUAAUCUAAUACGUUAGUGUUUUGACGUUACCGACAGAAUAAGCACCGGCUAACUUCGUGCCAGCAG